rnacentral:rRNA from 1 species
GUAGGUGGCAAGCGUUGUCCGGAAUUAUUGGGCGUAAAGCGUGCGCAGGCGGUUCUUUAAGUCUGAUGUGAAAGCCCACGGCUCAACCGUGGAGGGUCAUUGGAAACUGGAGAACUUGAGUACAGAAGAGGAAAGCGGAAUUCCACGUGUAGCGGUGAAAUGCGUAGAGAUGUGGAGGAACACCAGUGGCGAAGGCGGCUUUCUGGUCUGUAACUGACGCUGAGGCGCGAAAGCGUGGGGAGCAAACAGGAUUAGAUACCCUGGUAGUCCACGCCGUAAACGAUGAGUGCUAAGUGUUAGGGGGGUUUCCGCCCCCCUUAGUGCUGCAGCUAACGCAUUAAGCACUCCGCCUGGGAGUACGGCCGCAAGGCUG